UACUACAGUAGCUGAUAUUGUUUCAGUUGUAAACUCAGUCAUAGAUGAUGUAUUCUGCUCUGCUGUUGUUGAAGAAACCGGAGAUGGAGAGGUACCGGUUGUGUAUAGUGUUUCCAUUGUAGAAGAUUUCGAUGUGAUUGUAGUCCCAGUGGACUCUUCUGUUGUGAAGGAUGUUGAUUCUGGUAUUGUGGGGGAACUAUCAGGACUGGUUAGUUCUACAGUAGCUGAAGUUUCUGUUGUAAACUCAGUCAUAGAUGAUGUAUUCUGCUCUUCUGUUGUUGAAGUUACCGGAGAUGGAGAGGUACCUGUUGUGUAUAUUGUCGUUUCCAUUGUAGAAGAUUCUGAUGUGAUUGUAGUCCCAGUGGACUCUUCUGUUGUGAAGGGUGUUGAUUCUGUUAUUGUGGGGGAACUAUCAGAAUUGGUUUGUGUCUGUUGGCUUGUGGUUAGUUCUACAGUAGCUGAUAUUGUUUCAGUUGUAAACUCAGUCAUAGAUGAUGUAUUCUGCUCUUCUGUUGUUGAAGUUACCGGAGAUGGAGAGGUACCUGUUGUGUAUAGUGUUUCCAUUGUAGAAGAUUCAGAUGUGGUUGUAGUCUCAGUGGACUCUUCUGUUUUGAAGGGUGUUGAUUCUGGUAUUGUGGGGGAACUAUCAGGAUUGGUUUGUGUCUGUUGGCUUUUGGUUAGUUCUACAGUAGCUGAAGUUUCUGUUGUAAACUCAGUCAUAGAUGAUGAAUUCUGCUCUUCUGUUGUUGAAGUUACUGGAGAUGGAGAGGUACCUGUUGUGUAUAUUGUUGUUGCCAUCGUAGAAGAUUCCGAUGUGAUUGUUGUCCCAGUGGACUCUUCUGUUGUGAAGGGUGUUGAUUCUGGUAUUGUGGGGGAACUAUCAGGACUGGUUUGUGUCUGUUGGCUUGUGGUUAGUUCUACAGUAGCUGAUGUUGUUUCAGUUGUAAACUCAGUCAUAGAUGAUGUAUUCUGCUCUUCUGUUGUUGAAGUUACAGGAGAUGGAGAGGUACCUGUUGUGUUUAUUGUAGUUUCCAUCGUAGAAGAUUCCGAUGUGAUUGUAGUCCCAGUGGACUCUUCUGUUGUGAAGGGUGUUGAUUCUGUUAUUGUAUGGGAACUAUCAGGACUGGUUUGUGUCUGUUGGCUUGUGGCUUGUUCUACAGUAGCUGAUGUUAUUUCUGUUGUAAACUCAGUCAUAGAUGAUGUAGUCUGCUUUUCUGAUGUGGAAGUUCCUUGAGAUGUAGAGGUACCUGUUGCGUAUAGUGUAGUUUCCAGUGUUGGACCAGUUUUCUUUGUAGAUGUUUCAAAUGAGGUCACAGGGAACUCGUCUGUUGUAAGUGAUGUAGAUUCUGUUUUUGUGGUACAAAUAGUAGGGCUGUUUUUUGUCUGUUGGCUUGUGGUUUUUUCAGCAGUAGCUGAAGAUAUUUCAGUUGUAAACUCAGAACAUUGAUCUGUUGUGAAUAAAGUAGUUUUAGUCGUAGUAUACCAAAUUAUUUAUAACAUUUAAUUAUAGAGCUGUGAACAACUGCACAUUUAACAUACCAUGGAUUAAUAAUUGCAUGAGUUUUACCAAGAUAACAUCAGUCUUUGUACUAGAUUGAUGCUACUGUAUAACAGCUACUAUCAAUCAUUUUAAGUUUUAAAAUGUGCUAUUAUUUUAGAUGAUUACAAAGAUUGUUUUAUAUUGAAGACAUUGGGUACAUUAUGAACUGUACUUGUAUUACUGGAAGAUGUGAAUUGAAUUGUUCAAUCGUUCAUAUAUUACACAAUUCCACUUAAAGAAUAGCCAGUUUCUAUUGUAGUUUCAGUGUCUUUGUUUAUCUUAAGCCAUUAUCAUUUUUGGUUGUCACAUUCAUCUUUUAACUCCAACAUACAUUUUAGAUUGAUUAAAAUGUGGAGAUAAUCAUUAAAAUUCUGUAGAAACUUACCUGUGUUUGCUCCAAUGCAGAUGAAAUGCAGCAGCAGAAGUAAGGCAAUAAAGUGCAGUAUUUUCCAUAAAUACAUGUUUAGAAAGUUCCUGUAAGAUGGUUGUUUUUGUUUGAAAUGAAAAUGAUUUAGCCAAUUGCAAAUGCACCAGCCAUCAGUGUGUCUCCUCUGUUAAAUUUCAACAUCAACCAGCAACAAGAUGUGUGCAUGCUCCCUGCAAACAAUAAAUGUCAUAAGGUAUGGCCUCUUUUGCAUUAAAAACCAUGUUCACACCUUAAGUAAACCACAGUACGCUGAUUGGAAGUUUAUGUGGUUUUGAAAGGUCAGAACAGUUAUAUGACCUUGUCUUCUUGUUACACCCUUCCCAAGAAAUGAGAAAAACAUAUACUUUCACUUUUUCAUUUGUUUGUCUUUUUCAAAAUAGUAUUUGCUCUCAGUUGUGAUAUGUACAUUUAAGACAAUAAGAUCUGUUUAACCAGACAUUAGGAAAGAUUGUGUACACACAUUACAAUAAACCACCAAAGUUUUACAGUAAGUUCAGUGCCAAUUUCAGUUUCAUUCACUGCAUUUUAUUUAGAAAAUCUGUGCUUGUACUGUUAUCUAACUAAUUUUUGCUAAUUAUAAAUGAUUUAAGGUACUGAAUACAGCAUAGUUAAACAACAUACAAACAAAAAAAGCCAAUUACCUGAAAGUUAAACAUAGUUAGAUCCAAUAAAGUUGUUUCUCAACAAUAUAAUCCAGGUGAUUAGAAUCUCUGAAAGCAGUGAUUUCUUGUUUACUUAUAUUUGAAGUAUAUUUUUGUUUUGUUUUGUAGCCUAAUAGACGAUGGACUGGAAAAUCACUCUAUAAUAUUUCACUCUAUCAUGUUACAACCCUUCAGGAACUAAUAGGUUGAACAGUUAAUCCUGCAAACGUAACCGCUUGUUUGAACCAGUCAGAAUACAGGAAAUAAACUGAUAUGUUUCAGAAGUUGCUGUGUGGUUGCUAUGUUAUCUAUAGACAUUGAUGGGUCACUCCUUCAAUGUAGGUCUGUGUGUUAUCGUAUGCCAAAAGUCGUAAAUCAGCACCACUCUUCAACAAGUCAUAGGAUUUUGGGUAGCACUCAUGUCCAUCACUUGAACAAUGCAGUUCCUGAAACAUAAUACUUAAUAUUGUAAUACUUGGUAACGUUGGUUUCUUUUGUUCUUAUGACGUUCUAUAAAAAGCAGUGCUCACUUUGUUUUAAUGAAUUUCGCAUGGCAACCACAGGAAAACAAUGGCAUUAAAUAUGCUCUUGGCAUUAAAUAUGUUCUUGACCUAUGGUCACGUUCUCCACACCUGUUUGCUAUUUCAAAAUGUUUUUGAGUCAUAG
ensembl:lincRNA